rnacentral:lncRNA from 1 species
AAAAUUUCGGGUUGCAGUAGGUCAUAGGACCAUUAAAAAUGGCUGCCGUUACCAUGGAAACGGAACAAAUGUGAAAAAUUCCACUUUUUGGUUUUGGGGAAUUAUUUGGAGAUGCUUUAACUUAGAAUCAUUAUAUUUUGAUACAAUGUAGGUGCCCACUAUAUACUUGUUUUGGAUGAUUUUUGGCAUUCAUUGGAACUACUAUGUUGCCAUGGAUACUACACCAAAAAUUUCCAAAAUAUCAAAAUGCUCCAAAUUUAAUGAAACUUCACAGUAACGAUGAGCAACAUUGGAAGAUGUGCAAUUUGGCGUUGGAAUUUCAAAAAUGUCUUGUGUUACCAUGGAAACAAGGCAAAAAUGGUCAAAACGCUUUAAAAAACCUUAAAAAGUGGCAUUUACUUUCUUAAAAUGGUAGGUCAAAUCCAUUGAAACUCUGAUGGUAUGUUCC